rnacentral:lncRNA from 10 species
GUUGAUCUAAAAUAAAUUCAAGCUAAACACAAAAUUGUCUGCGAAAGGUAUUUUUUAAAAAUUGAAACAAUGAAUACUGAAUUGAAAACUGUUAGCUCAUUAGACAAUGCACUGAGUGAUGAAAGCACCAAGGACAACCAGGCCUGAAAGAAAGGAAAGGAGAGGGGAGGGGAGGAGAGGAGAGAUGAGGGGAGGGAAGGAGAGGAGAGAGGAGGGGAGGGGAGGGGAGGGGAGGGGAGGGAAAAAGGAAAGGAAUAAAAGGAAAAGAAAGGAAAGGAAGGGAGGGGGAAGGAAAGGAAAGGAAAGAAAAUUACAUAAGAAGGGGAAUUUGGGGAGUUCUGAGAAGGCUAUCCAUUCAUACAGAUUAUGCCUAAACUAGAAUUAUUUUUUCUUUUUAAUUAAGAACCAUUUAGAAUGAACAAUUUUUCCAUUCUACAGCUGCUUGUAUUAUAAUUUCUAGAAAGUGGUACCUUAAAGCCAAUCUAUUUCUUACACAAAAUAUUGUAUUUUCUUAUUAUUUUAAAUUUAAAAAUUAUUAAAUUUUCUUUCUAUUUCAGGACUGCUGACACAGCUUUAGAAAUCUAUUCUAUACUCCCAAAUCCUCCCUGUAACUAGAAUAUAAUCUUUAGCAAGAUGGCGGCCACAACUGCCCCCACUGCAUGCUUGUGGCAUCAAGAAAGGGAAGGGGAUGGAGGCCCAGAACACUAGGGGGACUUCUACCCAUGUCGGGGUAGAGGUAAGGGAAUCCAAGAAGGGAGUGGGUGAGACUUGUAGACAGGAGUAAGGGAGAGUCACUAGAACAGGACCUCUACACCUUCUUUGGGCAGCCAGGUGAGAGGUGCCCAGCCAGCGAGUCCAGGUACCCCAAUCAGCAUUAGGGUGUCCUGCAGAAAGCAUAUUAUGAAGGAAAGACAGGAAUGAGUGGCAUCCUUGGAACUAUCUGGUGGGAGUUAAACUGCAUCGGCAGAGGGGAUAUGGCAAGUCCAGCAUCCAGUUGAGCAAUUAAGGGAGAUCAUGAGAGCAGCGUCCAGCCGUGGAUAGGGGGCAGUCUCACCAUGGAUAGGGGGCAGUCUCACCAUGGAUGGGGGCAGUCUCACCAUGGAUAGGGAGCAGUCUCACCAUGGAUAGGGGGCAGUCUCACCAUGGAUAGGGGCAGUCUCACCAUGGAUAGGGGGCAGUCUCACCAUGGAUGGGGGCAGUCUCACCAUGGAUAGGGAGCAGUCUCACCAUGGAUAUGGAGCAGUCUCACCAUGGAUAGGUGAGACGGAUGGGUGCACCUCACCAUGGAUAGGGAGUCUCACCAUGGAUAGGGAGCAGUCUCACCAUGGAUAGGGGGCAGUCUCACCAUGGAUAGGGGGCAGUCUCACCAUGGAUGGGGGCAGUCUCACCACAGAUAGGGGGCAGUCUCACCACAGAUAGGGGGCAGUCUCACCAUGGAUAGGGGGCAGUCUCACCACGGAUAGGGGGCAGUCUCACCAUGGAUGGGGGUAGUCUCACCAUGGAUAGGGAGCAGUCUCACCAUGGAUAGGGGGCAGUCUCACCAUGGAUGGGGGUAGUCUCACCAUGGAUAGGAGGCAGUCUCACCAUGGAUGGGGGCAGUCUCACCAAUGGAUAGGGGGAAGUCUCACUAUGGAUAGGGGGCAGUCUCACCAUGGAUAGGGGGCAGUCACACUAAUGGCAAAGGAGGGGCAGUUGACAGUAACCAGGGCUUGAUUGUGAAGAGUGGACAAGUGGCUGAAGGUUGGUGAAGGGAUGCUCAGCAAGCCAGGUUUGGCCACUCAGUGGGUGACCAAAAUGACCCUGUGGUGGAAAUUGUCAGUGACUUCAGUGCUGAGUAAUCAGUGAGUAGGUCUCAAGAAGCAACAUGUCGAUGUGGAAUGUUGGGCCACCUGGAGCAGUGAAAGACAGCAGGCAAACUGGGGCUUGGAAAAUGGCUCUAGGGACAUAAAAGGAGCUGAAUGGACUUGGCAGUAGCAGGCUUGGAGCUGCUUGAUUGCAGAGCAAUGACAGGCCAAAAUGGAAGAGGAGGACCAGGAGAACUCAGAACUAAGCAGUAAUGGCUGCAGACACUGUGCACUGGAGGAUGUUGUAGAUACAAAAGUGUGAUCUUGGAGGUGGUCCAGUGAAGUCAGAGUUUCAGGUUUUGUCCGUUUCAGAUGGCUGCCAAAUGCAAGUAGGGCUCUUGAGUGUUUCCAGGAGGUGUGGCUGUGAGUUGUCUGAUGAAAUAUUUUGCCAUCCUGCUCCGUCCCACCCAGGACAUAAGUCAUCACUUUGUCUGGAGGAUCCACACCAUGCACUCCCUGCCCAUCAGUCACUUAGAAGCCGCCGUGGUUAUCAGAUGGACUGUCGUGGUAUCACGGUGCUUGCAUUCCAGUAACCCUUAUUUUACUUGACAGUGGUCCCAAAGCACAAGAAUAGUGACGCAGGCAACUUGGAUAUGCCAAAGAGAAGCUGUAAAGUGCUUCCUUUACGUGAAAAGGUGCAAGUUCCUGACUUAAUAAGGUAAAAAACAGAAAAACAAAAAACCCUCAUAUGCUUCUAUGAAGCGUAAGAAACCCUCAUAGGUUUCUAAAGAUUUAAGGUAAGAAUGCAUCUUCUAUCCAUAAGAAUUUUCUUAGUCUGUUUUCUGUGGUCAUAACAGAAUAGACAGGCAUAAGGGAGAGUCACCAGAACAGGACACUGAGUAAUUUAUAAAGAAGAGAGGUUUACUUUGGCUUACAAUUCUGGAGGCCUAGGAGUCAAAGAUCUGCCCACUAUAUCUGGUCAGCUUCCAGUGAGGCCUCUGCCAUGUCACAGCAUGGCAGAGAAGUGGAAAAGGAAGUGAGUGUGCCAAAGGGAGCCAAGGCAAGGAAGAACCUCACUUUGUAACAACCAGCUCUGACAGUUACUAACCGAGUCCUGCUAGACAGAGUGCUUGCUUUGGGAUCCGAGAUUAGUUCUUCCUCACCCUCGCUGUUUGCGGAGGUGGCAGCUGCUUUCUUAACUGUGUCCAGGUGGUGACUGGCAAUGCCUGUGGUGCUGCUGGGGGUAAUCUGGUGCACUCAGGAUGAUCACAGCUCACAGGCCUCCAGGUCAGCCAGGUGCAGAGUGGCAACUCUGAGGUGAGCCCCUAUGAUUUGGAUGUGCUGCUCAUGGGCUGCUGCUGGCAGCACCCAGCAGGCAUUGUAGGGGGUGGUAAAGCCCUGGAGAAGCCGCACUGUCUCACUGGGAGCAUGCAGAGGAACAGGGAUGGCAGCAACAUGCCCGUUGGUGAUUUGGUGACUUUGCUAACGGCAUUAGACCGGGGUAUGUUGGAGAAGUCUCUUUCCCCAGUUGGCAGACAACAGAUAAGCUUUCUGUGGAGAAGAUGUACUUGAGCCUUCUUGGUCUAUGGGGUCAUGAUGCCAGGACCUUUGGGGACGAGGAGCUCCUCUCCCACAGCUGAGGCUAGAAACAUACCAGCUGGUGGUUGGCUCUUCAAGCCCAGGGUGUCCCCCAGCCUACAGCAUUCCUACCACCCUCCUCCUAGAAGCCCACCUUCCUGUGGGACCAGAGUGGUCUUAAAAGUAAUUUUGGCAAAUUUUACCUGGUGGUGACCUCCAAAACAGAGGCACAAAGUAAAGAUAGAAGGCAGCAACACAUGUGAAAACAGAACAAAAACUGCCAGACCCACUGUAGAGUGUUCCUCAGACCUCACCCAAUCUCUCGAUCAGAGCCAGGCCCUGGCCACUCUCCCUUGAUCCUCCUGUAGAAAUGGGUGUCAUCACUCAUUGGCUUACUCAAAUUUCAUCCUCACUGCUAGUUGUGUUCUGAGGUUUUGGGUGGUCCCAGCUAGCCAGCUUCACAAGGGUGAUUUAUCCCUGUCAUCAAAGAUGAGUCUUAGACACCAUCUAAUGCUCAAGUAGUUUAUUCCAGCAGUGCUCUUACAAGACAGAAAGCAGGAGCUGGCUGGUGUCAUAGGCCGGAUAUAGUCAGAGGUCAG